CCCGAUUCUUUACUUCGUAUUGAUCUGAUCUAAUCAAAGUACAGGGAUAGGUUACAUAUAUAUACUAGCUAAGCCAGCUAGUAGUAAUCCUACUUGGUGCAUUAUUAGGAAUCAUAGACAAGCACGUACACGUACACGUCCAUGGUAAGGACACGGACUCGUAAUCGUGAUCGUGUUUAACUCUAACAUGCCUAACAUCACAUUUAAAUCAAAUAUAUAUGUAUAUACCAUGAGCCCAUGACACCUCAACAGAAAACGCUCCGCACAAGUUAGUAGCAGGAGCCCUUGCAUCCAUACUUUGGGGAGGCAGCCAGGCCCUCGUCCACGGCAAGUCGUCCCGACUGAAGAAUGUAUUUAGUGUGGAUGCAAGGCAGUAAUCAGCGCUUGUAUUCAUCCUCGUGUUGUACAGCAUAUAGGUGUACAAGGAAGAGGGGAGAGAGAGAGAGUUACACGCAUGAGCACAUACCUUGUAACAACAUACGGUUGGGAUCCUAUCUAUCAGGGUGCACGCACGCAGUCAUACUGCAUGGAUAGGGACGUGCAUUUAGCAUCCAGGAGAAGCGGUCUUCAGCAUACUUGGCCAGAUUGUGCCAAGUAGUAGUGAUUAUACUAUGAGUCUGCUACCAUGUUGAUAUAUGGUGUAAAUUUACACCAUGUAUGUCAUACUUCAGCAGGGUCGCAUGGUCGCCCAGACUAGCAGAGUUGAGGCAUGCGAUGACUUGCCAACCUGAACCUAUC
rnacentral:lncRNA from 1 species